UACAGGGGUCUCAAGCGUUGUUCGGAUUCAUUGGGCGUAAAGGGUGCGUAGGCGGCGCGGUAAGUCGGGUGUGAAAUCUCGGAGCUUAACUCCGAAACUGCAUUCGAUACUGCCGUGCUUGAGGACUGGAGAGGAGACUGGAAUUUACGGUGUAGCGGUGAAAUGCGUAGAUAUCGUAAGGAAGACCAGUGGCGAAGGCGGGUCUCUGGACAGUUCCUGACGCUGAGGCACGAAGGUCAGGGGAGCGAACAGG
rnacentral:rRNA from 1 species